GCUGGGCAUGGUGGCACAUGUCUGUAAUUCCAGCUACCUGGGAGGAUGAGGCAGGAGGAUCACAAGUCUGAGGUCAUCCCAGCAAUUUCGUGAGAUCCUGUCUCAA
rnacentral:sRNA from 1 species